rnacentral:rRNA from 1 species
GAUGAACGCUGGCGGCGUGCCUAAUACAUGCAAGUCGAACGGGGAGUAGCAAUACUCUUAGUGGCGAACGGGUGAGUAACGCGUUGGUACCUGCCCCGAAGCGGGGGAUAACGGACCGAAAGGUCCGCUAAUACCCCAUGUGCUCGGUAACGAGUAAAGGUGAAAACCACUUUGGGAGGGGCCUGCGUCCCAUCAGCUAGUUGGUAAGGUAACGGCUUACCAAGGCGAUGACGGGUAGGGGACCUGAGAGGGUGGCCCCCCACAAUGGAACUGAAACACGGUCCAUACACCGACGGGUGGCAGCAGUAGGGAAUAUUGGUAAUGGGCGCAAGCCUGAACCAGCAACGCCGCGUGUGCGAUGACGGCCUUCGGGUUGUAAAGCACUUUUGACUGGGACGAGGAAGGACGGUACCGGUCGAAUCAGCCUCGGCUAACUACGU